GACGAACGCUGGCGGCGUGCUCAACACAUGCAAGUCGAACGAAGAGCGAUGGAAGCUUGCUUCUAUCAAUCUUAGUGGCGAACGGGUGAGUAACGCGUAAUCAACCUGCCCUUCAGAGGGGGACAACAGUUGGAAACGACUGCUAAUACCGCAUACGAUCUAAUCUCGGCAUCGAGGAUAGAUGAAAGGUGGCCUCGACAUGUAAGCUAUCACUGAAGGAGGGGAUUGCGUCUGGUUAGCUAGUUGGCGGGGUAGCGGCGCACGAAGGCGAUGAUCAGGAGCACGUCUGCGAGGAUGGACGGCCAGAUUGGGACUGAGACAGGGCCCAGACGCAUACGGGAGGCAGCAGUGGGGAAUCUGGCGCAAUGGACGAAAGUCUGACGGAGCAACGCCGCGGGAGGAAUGACGGCCUUCGGGUUGUAGAGCUCGGUUAAUCGGGACGAAAGGCCUUCUUGCGAAUAGUGAGAAGGAUUGACGGUACCGGAAUAGAAAGCCACGGCUAACUACGUG
rnacentral:rRNA from 1 species